rnacentral:lncRNA from 1 species
AAAUCAUCAAAUCAAACUCACACCUCACAAAAGCAGAGAAAUCAAACGGUUUCCGACUCUACGCUUUAAAUUCAGCUUCAUUUCUUCAACUGAAGAAUCGGUCGUCUCUCAUUUUUUAUUUAUUAUAUAAAGAAUCGGUCACUCUUCAAGUAACUAACUUUUCCUCUUUCACUUCUCUUCAUUUUUAUUAGUUAAUUAAGAUCCAGUUAAUGUAAUUAAUUUUAUUUAAUCUUUUAAAUAAAGUUCUAGAUUAGGCUAACUUAGAUUCAUGUGAAGUUGAAGUGAUUUACUUUCGAUCUCUUUUUCGUCCUAUGUUUAUUUGUACUUACUAUUACUUUUUUUUUUUGGGUUUAAAUUUUCGUUUUUGAAGUGUUUACUGAUUAAAUUUCUGAGCUUUAUUUGUGUAUGAUGAUUGAUUUGUGAUUUUAAUUUGUGACUUUUUUUUUUGGAAUUUAAAUUUGAAUGCUUUUUAAGUUGAAUUGAAUUGCUGUAUGAUCAGGUCAAAUUAAAAUGUUUAAGCUCAUUUUUAAGAAACGAAUUCUCAAUUGGACCAGCCUUUCACAGAAGCUGAUAUCACAGAAGCUUUGAGUCAGAUGCAUCCAACCAAAGCCCCUGGCCCAGAUGGUCUCCCAGCAGUAUUUUUCCAAAAGCUUUAGAAUUCAGUAAGCGAAGGAGUUAUAGCCACUUGUCUGCAUAUCCUCAAUGAUGGAGGUAAUAUUGCUCCUUUGAAUCAUACAUACAUUGCUUUAAUCCCCAAGAUAGCAAAACCUAGGACUCUGAUGGAGUAUAGACCAAUCAGCAUAUGUAAUGUAAUUUAUAGGAUCAUUGCAAAGACUAUAGCGAAUAGGCUGAGGCUAAUCUUAGAUCAUGUUAUUUCACCAACUCAGAGUGCUUUUAUGCCAAAUAGGCUCAUAACUGAUAAUAUAAUUAUUGGGCAUGAGUGUCUUCAUAAGUGGACAAAGCUAAGUUCCAGAGGUGAGAUAGGAAAUUCUCCCGCACGACACAGCAGAAACAAACUUUCCCUUUCAUUUUCUUUUCUCUUUCUCGCUCUCCAAACAGAGCAAAAGGACCGUCACAAGAUUCUUCACUUCCAUCCAAAAUCAUGAGCAACAAAUGGUGAGCCUCCCUGUUUCCUUCCUUUUUUUUAUAUUAACCUUGUUAACAUAUACUCAUUUUAAUUUGACAAUACUUCAACUUUUUUUAAUUUUUUGCCUUUUCAUUUUUUUUGUUGAAGCAAUUAUCUGUUCAAGCUGUUGCUUAUCGGAGACUCGUCCGUCGGAAAGUCCUGUCUGCUGCUCCGAUUUGCUGUCUGUUGACUUUUCCUUUCCCUUCUUAUUUUCUUUUUUUAUAUUAAUUACUUUCUAUUUUAGCUUUUUGUUCUCUGAAUUUGUGUUAUUAAAAUGAUAAUUUAGAUGAUAAAUAAUUGUUAUUGUUGUAAAUUUCGGUUUUCAUUACGUUAAUUGUUAGCUUUUAGGUUUAUUAAUGUAAUUUUUUUUUUUUCAAUUUUUCAGGAUGAUUCUUAUGUCACAGCUACAUCAGUACCAUUGGAGUUGAUUUUGUGAGUCUCUCUUCUAUAUAUAUGUAUAUAUGUGUAUAAGUUAUAAUAUGAGUCUAUGUACGUGUAUGUAUGUAUGUGUAUGCAUAUGUGGAAAGAAAUGUUGGCAGACUUCAGCAUUUUACUCUUUUUUUUUUUGGCAGAAAAUAAGAACUGUGGAGCUGGAUGGGAAGACGAUCAAACUGCAGAUUGUGAGUCAAAAUUUCCUUUUAUCUUGUAUUGAGAGAAAUUCGAUUUGUCUUAUUUUCUUUGUUUGAAGAGUGAUAUGUUGAAAUGAGUGUAUUUGUCUUAUAAACAUCAUUUAGGUAAUGUCUUAUGUUUGAUUGUUUUUCAUCUGUUUAGUGGGACACUGCUGGACAGGAGCGAUUCAGGACUAUAACUAGCAGUUAUUACCGAGGAGCCCAUGGAAUCAUAGUAAGGAGCCUUCCCGGUUCUUGGUUUAAAUCAGAAAGUUUGUGAUUUACAUGUGACAUCUUAACAGCAUUGUAUGUGUUUAUUAACUUAUUUUUCAUCUUUCAUUAAGCAGUACAUUUUCUAUUAAAUCUGUAUACAAGAUGAUGUAGUCCAAGAAUGGGAGCCAUAAUAUGAUGCAAAUUGUCUAAUAAAUUCUUAUGACAUAUGAUGUUGUCGGAAGUAAAAGUCUUGCAAUGCUGUAUUCUCUUUUAAGAAAGAAUAAGUGGUAAUUUUGUUUUUCCAAUUUUUUAAUUGAGCAACUGUAUGAGAUUAAUUAAAUGUGUUGGGAUUUCAACAGAUUGUCUAUGAUGUAACUGGGAUGGAGAGCUUCAAUAAUGUCAAGCAGUGGUUGAAUGAGAUUGACAGAUACGCAAAUGACAGUGUAUGCAAGCUUCUAGUUGGGAACAAAUGCGAUUUAGUUGUGAACAAGGUUGUGGACACACAGACAGCCAUGGUAUAUUCAUGACUUUUGUUGCCUGAACUUUGAAUAUAAUUUUAAACUCUUCUCAAGUGCAUUUGCUUGGUAAGUUUCUGCAUACCCAGGACACUCAAACUUUGGACAGUCUGUAUCUCGAGUUGGAAUCUUUUCUGUCAAUACGACUUGUUAAAAUAAGGGUUGUUAUCUUUUGAAUCAUUCAAGAAUUCACUACUACAAAAAUGACCUUUACUGACACUUCGUUUCUGACACUUCGUUUCUGACACUUCGUAAAAAGUGUCAGUAAUGGUUUACAUUUUGGUCAUUUUUUCCAUUUAACAAAUAUGUAUCAUAAAUCACUGGUACUAAGGUGUCAGUAGCAUAAAACUCAGUAAUUACUGAUGCUUUAGUAUCAGUGAUAAAGACAAAUAUAAUUCUAAUUAUAUUUUUACUUGGACUCGAACUCAAUAUCUCCGAAGUUAAAAUUUUAAUUUCAAACUACAAGCCACGUGUGCGCAUAUUUUCUUUGUUUGGUUAAACCAUAUAUAAUUAACCAAAAACCCUUUGCCAUAAUUUAACACAAACUUUUCGAUCUCCCUCCACCAAAUUUUGUUCCCUCUCAAACAAACUAAAAUCCAAAUCCCUAAAAUUCCAAGUGCCUAAAUCCUUAACUCUCCCUAAGUGCUAACCAGUGACAGCCCCUCUCUAAGGCCUUAGCAGCACGCACGAUGACGGCGGCACACGUAGCCCGAGUACCGGCAGCCCAGCAGGUCGCACCACACAUUGCAGUAGCUCGCUCGCUUUCACUCUCUCUCUGAAUGCACACACAGCAGUGGCAGCCCCUCUCUCUCACGCUCGUUUUGUCGCUCUCACUUUCUCCGUCUCUGGUCACCAUCUCACCUUCCGGUCUAAACUGUUGUCGUCGCAGCCGCGUUCAGCCGUCGCCAUCGUGCCGGCCGCUUGAGACAGUGAGUUGAGAUUCCACUUUUUAAUUUUUUUUCAUAAAAUUUUUGCCUGAAUUUGAUUAGUCAAAUACUCAAAUUAAUUGCGUUGUGAGUAAUACUGUAAUGAUUUAAUUUGCCCUGCAUCCCCUGCAGAAGGUAAGCAACUCCAUUUUUAGGGUUCGUGUAGUAGUGUCUUGACUGAAUCGCCUUAGUAAUCAUAAGGUCAGUUUUCUCAAGAAGGGCAACUUCGAUCUUUUGGCAUUUUCAGUGCUGCUUCUGAAUCUCUGUUUACUGUAGCCUGCUUCUACAUGUGAUUUGAGGGCCAAGAAUUUAUCUCAAGGGAAAAUCACAUUAUGUUUCAAUUCUCUGUUUGACCCUUUUAACUUUUGAAUAUCAACAUUAUAUGUUUAGUGUUCCGUCAAUUGUUUUAUCAAAUACAUAGACCUUUGGGCUUUAGACACUAGUGUUCAAAAUUAGCAUCUAGUUUUUAUGGUAUCUUUGAGCAGGGGUUUCGCUUCAUUUGGUUGAAUAAAAGAUCAGUUUUCAUUGUCAUGGAUCAAAAAAAAAAAAAAAGGCCUUGGCCACUAGUACCUCAGGAGGUCAAAGCCAAGGCUUCCAAAGACAAUGUUCCCAUGAUCGAUGUGACUCAAUUUGGCUACUUUAAGGUUUUAGGUAAGGGCCUUUUGCUUGAGAACCAACUCGUUGUGGUGAAGGCCAAGCUUGUUUCCAAAAUAGCCAAGAAGAAACUUAAAAAAUCUGGUGGGUCUGUCGUGUUUACUGCUUGGGUUUAGUGUUAUUGCUUUUAUAAUUUUUUUUCUGUUAUUUUGGUUUCAGCUUUUGAGGAUUUGACUAUAUAGUUUUGGAUAUUUAUGUUAUCAUCGGAAACUUUUUGUUUUAUAUUAAGGCAUGUUAUUGAUUAAGAAGAAGAAGAAGAAGAAGAAGAAGAAGAAGAAGAAGAAUAUUUUGCAGAAAAUGUUUUAGUUUCUUUCUUCCAUUCGGCAUUUGUAGUAUUUAUUUGAUUCGAUUUCUGUCAUGGUGUGUUGAUUAUGCGGAUGAUAAGAUACUACCUUGCUCCUUUACUUAUGUUUGAUUCCUUAUACUAGAAACAUACCUCUAGUAGAGUUGCCAUUUAUCUACUUUAUUGUUGUAAAAUCUGUUAUAAAAUGUAUAAGCAAUCAUUCAUUUGAACUCUCUUUAUAUGCUUAAAAUCUGAAUUCAUGUACAAGGUGUUAGUGUCAAUGUUGUUGAUCAUUUCAAUAAGUAGUGCCAAUUUAUAAUGACCUUGGUGCAUUUCUAUUCAGUCAGUAAACUUUUGUCAUUUAAGUUGUUUAUUUGUUUAACAAAUGUAUAACUAGUUUCUACAAAUUUACUUUGUGUAUAAUAGAUGAUUCAAAAUCUUGGCAUAGAGGAAAGUGAAGUUUCUGAGGUAAAUAAGGUACUUUACAAAAACUAUACCACAUCAAUGGUUGGUCUAAGAUACAAUAUAUAUGUAAGUUUAAAUGCACUAUUAUUUAUAUACAUAUCCUUGCCAAAAAAAAAAAAAACCAAUAAAAGCAGUUUCAUAAACUGAUGUAAAUGUUGUUAUUAUUGUUAAUUUGCAGGCUAUCAGCUAUGAUGUCGACAAUGGUGACUAUCAUAGGUAACAUUAUUUUCCUUUCUAAUUCAUCUGAAAGUGUUAAUUUGCAGGGGCUGUUUCUACUACAGAAUAGCAACAAGACAGCCCCUGUAGAUUUCUAGUGGUUGUUUUCACUGCACAACAGCCCCUACAGAUUUCCGGGGGAUGUUUUGUUGCUAUUCUAAAGUCAAAAAAACUCGUAUAAUUUUUUUGGGCUAUUUUGCAAUGAAAAUACUUUUGAGGUUUGUUGAGGAAGGAGGGGAAUGAGAGCGGUAGUUUUUUAGAAGGCUUGAUGAGAGUUUCAUAAAUUUGACAAGUUUUAUGAGAUUAAAGUGAAAGAAGUUUAUGCUAAGGCUGAAAGUUUGAGUGGGUAAAUGGAUGUUUUGAUUGCAGAUUUCUGUUGUUUGAUUAUAAAAAAUAGGAAGGUUUUAAUUAGAUUGACUUAGAUGUUUUGUUUUCUGUGACUUGUAGCAGGUUAUCCAACAUGGCUUCUUUAGACAACUUAAGCUAAGGUUCUUUAUUUCUAUAACUUUCAGUAUUAUUGUAAUAUUAUUUCUUAUUAUUUUAUUAGUUGUUGAAACAUCCUUCAAUUGCUUUGUUUAACUACUCGCAAUCAAUUUGUUUUCCAUAAUCUAUUUCCAUACUAAUUGAUUUUAAUUAUGUUGUUGUAGGUGGGGAAAAAAUGAAGCUGCAUAUGGAUAUUGAGUGAUGUUCUUGUGCUUCUUUUUGGUGGAAACUAAAUUAGUACUUUGUGGUUGUUGAAAACUUAAUUUAGUACUUAUAUUUUUCUUUUCCAGAUAGUGGUGUAGUUGAAUCAUGUGAAUUUGAGUGAUGUAUUUGGGAUGUUUAUUAUGUGAAUUAUAUUGUGACAUUUUAUAUAUUUGAUAUAUUUUGAGCUUUCUUUUAGUUGUAAAACAAACAGGAAAAAUAUAAUUAGAAUAAAAAAAAUUUAUUAACCAAUCCUCAAUAACAUUACGAAAUACUGACAUUAAAUAUUUAAAUUGAAAUGAAUAUUUUUUGAUAUUAUCGAGCUAGCUUGUUAUUGAUACUAUAGUCACAUAAAUCACUGACAUGUAAAUAGUAUCAUCAAAUAUUAACAUUAUCGUAUCAUUAUUUUGGUGAUACUAUAGUGACAUGAAUUACUGAUACAAAAAUCACUGACACUAAAAAUUAGUGUCAGUGUGUUCUGGCUUGAGCAUCACUGACACAAUUAACAAGUGUCAAGAAAAGUAAUUACUGACACUAAUUUAGUGUCAGUAAAACCCAUUUUUGUAGUAGUGAUUGCAAUAAAUCUAAAGUCCAUAAAAAAUAUGAUUCCAUCAUUUUACUAUUAUAUCUAGACAAAACCCAUUAUUUUACUACAUUUCAUUGGCACCGAUAGUUGACCUGUUGGCUGACUGAUAAAAUAUCAAUUUUGCACUUUAUAUUAAUUGUUUUUUGGUUAAAAAAUAACACACAAAGUAUUACAAUAUUAUAAAUUCAAAAUAUAAAGUAGUUACAAAUAAUUCCUAUUAGCCUAUGAAUAUAAUAUUUGAUACCUCUAUUUGUGUAAUUUUUUUCCAAUGGUGAAAUUGUUAUUUUUUUUGUACUAACGGAAAUGUAGUAAAAUCAUAAGUUUUGUAAAGAUAUAGUAGUAAAAUGAUAGACUAAAAUACUUCUUGUAGUUGUUUGAUAUAUUGUAAUUCUUAAAGUAGUCAAUUGAUAAUAUCCCCUAAAAUAAAUGUUCGUAAUAUGUUCUCAUUUUAAUGCAACUGAUUGUUUAAUAAAAUUGUAUUUCUUUGUUAAUCUUUUAUCAUGUGCAUGCUCAGUGAGAAUUUGACUUGCUAGAACACAAGUUUGACUCUUCAUUUAAAUGUCUCUUGUAUCAUAUCCUUCAAUGUUGAGUGUGAUUCCAAUAAAAUUGAGUAGGGAGAUCCUUAAAUACCUUUUCCUUUUUUCCAAGGGCCUGCCAAAUUGCUCUAAGUGGUUCUACCCUUUAUCAAUGAAUAAUGAAAAUAAAAUUUUUAUUAAAGCAUUCUGUUCCUUAAAUGGUGACUAAUAGUACCCUUUUUUUUUUGGAGAGGAAAGCCAAACGCCCAAAGAGGAUCAUUUACUUUCCUCUAAUGUAUUUUCUAAUUCGUUUUGAGCCUUGAAUGUCUGUUUUGGUGCGUAUUCUCAUUCCAUGUCGAAUCUUAUCCAUAUGGACAACCCCACUUACAAAAAAGUCUAAUGAAUCUAUUGAAGUUCAUAUGAGGUUUGUGCUUUAGAUUUAGACCUCUCUCUCUCUCUCUCUCUCCACUUACAUGUCUUUCACUUACCUGUUUGCAUGCAUGCCCAUGCACACACUUUCAAGAUAAUACACGGUCACUCGUACUUCUGUUUUGGUUGAAUUACUGGCUGCUAACCUCUGUAAUUCAGUUUGAAACUUGCCACCCUUAGUGCUUCACUCAAAUGGUUGGUUAGGGUGAGAUCUGUAUCGUUUUCCUGGUCUCUUUCCAAGGUUAUCUAAAGGGAUUUGGCAGUCUGAUUCUUUAGGGAAUAUCAUUGCAUAAGAUAUCUAUUGUUUGUUAAUGAAUAAUUUCUAUUUAACUAGUUAUCUAUAUAAAUUGGUAAAUUUUAACUGCAUAAUUUGCAUGCAAUAAGAUUUUAUAAGAAUCUUGUUUUCAACGCAUGACUUAGACUAAUGUGAUAUGUUGAGCAUUAAGCUACAAGAUCUGCACAUCAAAGUGCUUCACAAUGUUAAGGAGAAAGCAUCUUUUUCUGCUUCUUCAUGUGAUUUAAAGUUUCCAUGGUACUUAUCUAAUAAAAUAUCUUUCAAGACUUUGGAAAUGCUUUUAUGUAUGACUGAGAGAAACUUGUUGGGUUGGUUUUUAGCAACAGACGGAGUUAUGGACUUUGUGUUGACUUGUUAUUGAUUAAGACAGUACAUCGGCUGAUCUAUUGGCAUCAAGCAGCAGAUGCAGAAAUUAUGGGUGGCAUACCAUUGUAUCCAAAUAACAUACUACAUUGAUUUUUCUGACUUUCUGUUGGCCUCCGAGUGAAAUGCAGGCAUUUGCAGAUGAACUGGGGAUUCCUUUCCUGGAGACGAGUGCCAAAGAUGCAAUCAAUGUGGAGCAGGCUUUCUUGACCAUGGCCGGCGAGAUUAAGAAAAAGUAAAAUCACUUAACUCUUUCCUUCUUGCCGACUGUUCUUAUUCAACAACCACCAUUAUUGCUGGUUAUGUGCAUUGUGAUGAAAAUUCUGCAAUGAAUAACUUUUUACCUAAUGUUUUCUGUUGGAACAAAUUACUCUGGUAGAAAAGCCCUACAGGGUUUGAGAAAUCCCAUGAUGUGAUGAUUGUGAGCAUUUUAGACACCGUGUAUGGGUUUAUUUUGUGACUAUAAAAUGUUAAGAUUGUUUCUAGUUUUGGUUUGUAGUGCAUAAAAGGAUUCAAAAUUUGACAUCUGUCUAAAUCAGAUUAAUAACAUGAUAAUAAUGUACAUAUGCAAGAUGUGAGGAAUUGUUUUAUCUCACCCCUAAACUUUAAGAAAUUGAAACAUUAUUAUUCAAAAUAUUUAACAUUUCCAGAAUUGAUAGUUGUCUAUUUGAGCAGUGACUGGUGGUUAUCAUGAACUGAUGUGUGGUUGUGGUUUCAAAUCUUCGUGAAACCUGUUGUCAUAUGCUGAUUAACAUAGCUAGUCUCUGAAACAAUUUGUUGAUUCACUAAUUAUGAGUUCAAAUUUGAUGCAGAAUGGGCAACCAGCCUACUGCAAACAAAUCUUCUGGAACAGUUCAGAUGAAGGGAUAGCCAAUCCAGCAAAACAGCAACCGCUGUGGUUAGCCGAGCAUCUUAUUUUACUUCUACAUGUUAGCUGACUGAUUGUAGACAGUUUUAACUAUGUUGACUGCAUUAUCUUAUGAAUCUUUUAAUCUGUCAAAUAUUUAUUUCCUGCUUUAAGUUCUUUCCCGUUUAUAACAAAUUUAAUUUCUUGCUCUAUAGCAUUCCAAAUUCCUGUUAAUUUACGAGGGAAAAAGAAAAGAGACGAAAUGGGAGAAAAUGGUCAAAUUUGUUAGGGGGGGAGAGCUGUUGAAGUAGUUUUUGUUCUUGUUUAUCAUCGUGACCCUCUUGUCGCUUAUCUACUACCUGGAAGUCCGGUCAUAUCGGAUGGGUAAAGUUACCGAAACGGCAUCAUUUUGGGUGAAAUAUCAUGUUUAUAUAACACUUUUGAUAAUAUUUUUAUGCAACAAAAAAAUGUUUGCAGUACCCUUUUCACAUUGUGAAGCGCAUGAUCGGAUGAGAGCAGUCUGGAUUCUGGCAUCACAAGCUAAUGCUUUGAUUUGCUUAGUUUGUUUUUUGUUUCUGAUAUUUUCUCGGCAUAGUGUAAAUGUAUGAAGAUGAAAUUGUUGGGUUGGUUUUGUUAUGGAAUUUGGUUUACUUCACUAACCAUUAAUGCGCAAAACCUCCUAACGACCCUCAAAAAUCCCGUACAUAAUUAAAGAAUUUCAAUUUUAUAUGUACAUAAAUAAAUAACUCUCAAAUAUAUUAUUUGAUAAUCCCAAAAACAACAAUUCAUUUUAAUAAAUCUCGUAGUCAAUACAUGGUCUAUAUUGCAAGUGUUUUCGAGACUAAUUGAAAAAGAAAAUACGAAGGAUAUAUAAUUGACUUUUACUUGUUAUAAAGAACUCUAAAUAAAUUCAUAUACGCAUCGCAGCUAAUUACAGUCUUGGUACUUCAUUAGGUUUUUGUUAAUUUUCUAUACAGUUGUGCUGUGCAUUAAAGUUUUGUUAAAUGAAAUCGGUAGUGAGAAUUAAUUAAUUAAUUAAUUAAGAUCCAGUUAAUGUAAUUAAUUUUAUUUGAUUUUUUUUAAUUCGAGUUCUAAAUUAAUCAAUUAAUUUAGAUUCAUGUGAAAUUGAAGUGAAUUAGUUUCAAACUGUUUUUCGUUCUAUGUUUGUCUGUGUUUACUCUUACUUUUUUUUUUUGUUUAAGUUUUCGUUUUCUUAUUGUUUACUGAAUAAAUUUCUGAGCUUUAUUUGAGUAUGAUGAUUGAUUUGUGAUUUUAAUUUGUGACUUUUUUUUUUGGAAUUUAAAUCUGAAUGCUUUUUAAGUUGAAUCUGAAUGUGUUGGGCUGCGAUUUAAUUGAGUGAUGUGUGAGCGCCAAAUAUUCAAUAACUGAUAAAUUAUAUUUAUAAAUAUUAAUAGUGAUGGCACAUAAACAAUUAAUUCAAGAACUUGCCCAUAAGCCACUCGGCCUUUGGCUGAGUGGUCAGGACUGCUGCCCUUGGAGGGCAGCAAUUCGAACCCUCACAAUGCAUUGUGGGGGUAUUUUCUUUCUUAAUUAAAUUUGAGUGAAGGCAGUCUGCUCUCUUACCCAAAAGUGAGGAGAGGGAGUAGACAUCCCUCGAAUAUUUGAGAGGGUUAAAAUCUGGGCAUCGCUCCAUUAGCAUUGAUGUAAGUUGGUCCCAGUCAUAAUCUGAUUUGUAAAUAUCAGUUAUAUUCUCAUGUAAUAUGAGUUGUAAUCUGAGUAAUAGUCUCAUGUAAUAAAAAAAAAAAACGAACUUGCCCAUAGUGAUUAAUUUAAAGAGUAUAAGUAACAUUGCAGUAAGUUGGUCCUUGCGUGUUUAAUUAGCAAUUGAAAACUACUGUUGCUGAUGAGGUAGAACAUUAUAACACUGUUGCUGAUGAGGCAGCUGGUAAUUCUUCUGGUGAAGAUAUUAAGACUAUUAAAGCUGAAAUGUAAUUAGAGAAAUAUAAUGCAUUCCCUUAGUUUGCUUUUUGUUUUUGAUAUUUGUUUGGCUACUGCGUUGCUUAGAUUGCUUUUUGUUUUUGAGAUUUUAUUGGCUUGGUCAUGGGGUAUUGUUUUCUCUUCUAAUUUCUAUUUUUGUUGUUAUGGGAUUUGAUUAUGGUGUACAUAUACGAAAAUUAUGUAAUCAAGUGCUUUCGAUAAAUCAUGAUCGAUUUACUAUUAAUUAAUCAAAUUUAAUUUACUCAAAUUACUCAUGUACACGAUCAAAAUAAUUUUAAUUCCAUAAUAUAUAUACACACGCGCACACACAAACAAAAUGUAAUUGACAUUGAAAUAUAAAAUAUUUAAAAUAAUCACCGUACUAACAAUUCACAAGUUAGAUUUUAUAUAAAUAGAUGAAAUAAUGUUACUCUUGCGAAUCCAGUCAUAAUAAAUUGAUUUUCAUUUCUAUUAAUUAUGUCGAACCAUGCUAUUUUAAUAAAGAGCACUUGAGAAUAUAUAUCCAACAGGUAAAAUUUCAAAACAAUAUUUGCCAAAGUCUGAUGAAGAGAAUAUACACGCACGCACAUAUAUAACCAUACAGCAGAAGGAUAAAUAAAAGAAAAUGAAGUUUCAACAGCUGAAUAAUGUAAAUUCAUUUUUUUUAACAAGCAUUUUAUUGUUUAAUUAAAAAAUUCGAAAACCCAUUAAAUACAUAUAAGGACUCACUGACGCCGAACCAUAUUAAUUUAAAUUAGUUUUCAACUGAGAUUAGAAUUUUGAAAUUACAUACACAAACACGCCCAAUUAAAAAGUAGUAAUUAUAAAAUAUUUCAGUACUCGUUUUACCAUCCAUUUGAGCAUACACAAACACACCCAAUUUGAAAAAAAAAAGUAGUAAUUUUAAAAUAUUUCAAUCGUCCACUGUUCAGUCACCAAAAACCAAUUUACGAUUCAUUUCAACGCCUAAUUUGAAAAAAGAAAAUACUAAUAAUAAUAAAAUAUUCCAAUCGUCCAUCCUUUCACAAAUCAAAAAUAUCACCAAAAACCAAUUUCCAAUCUAUUUCAAAACAAUUUUUGCCAAAGUCCUCUCCUCGGCUAAUUAAUUCAUACAUUAAUACAGUCCUCUGCUGAAUAAUGCAAACCCGUUACGUUAUUCUACCAUUUCUUAAAUUUAAAGCAUUCCACCAUUUAAUAAAAAAAUUCGAAAGCCCACCGACACCAAACCAUAUUAAUUUAAAAUAGUUUCCAAUUGAGAUUUGAAUUUUAAAAUUACAUACACAAACACACCCGAUUUAAAAAAAAAUAAUAAUAAUGCUAACAAUAAAAUAUUUCAGCCGUCCUAUGUGUUAUCGCCAAAAACGGAUUUCCAAUCUAUUACAACAUGAGGUAUAUGAGUUAACAAGUCCCAAUAUUGUCCUCCAUCCUUUCUGCACUUCUCUGCUAUCAACGGACAUCCUGCGAUCUGUAAUUGCAAAAGUGAGGAAGGCAGGCCCUUCUCCGGAAAGUAUUUGAGCUUGGGACAAUUAUGGAGUCGCAAUACAGUGAGGUUUUGAAGAUCAACAAUUGAAGAAGAUAGGCGUUCCAGAUUUGGAAAAUUGAAAAUCUCCAGAGACGUUAGAGAGGCAGGAAGAGGAAGCGCGGUCCCUAAUCUUUUGUCCUCUAGUGGAAAUGACACCAUGUCCUCAUCACAUCCACUGAUUAAAAGACGUUGCAGAGAGGAGAAUCUGUGAAAUCCCCGUCCCCGCUCAAUCAUUGACUUCCAAAUCUCCAUAUUACCCCAAAUAUCAAGUGACUGAAGGUUGGUGGGAAGGCCAUCUUCUUCUUCAAGGCUUGGAAGCGCACCUCCUUUUCCUAUUGUUAAUUCUUGAAGAGAGCUCAGAUUGUGCAUUCCCUUGGGUAAGGCCUCUAGUCUCUUACAAUUAGAUAUCGCCAGCCUCCUGAGUUUCGCACAAGGCAAUCCCCCUUCGGGAAAGGACACCAGAUUUUUACAACUAUCUAUGCUGAUUGUUUCAAGAGAUGUGUUGUUGUCCAACCUUUCUGCUAUUGACUUCAGCUUUGAACAACUCCAAACAACGAGGGACUUAAGAGACGAAGGUAGAUUGCCAACUUCAAGGGACUCAAGCCUGGCAGGUAACUCGUUUUUUGAAAAUAUACAUGUCAGAGAUGGACAACUAAUAAUUUCUAAGUGCUCGAGAAGAGAUGAGGUGUACCUUCUGCUGCUGCUGCUGCUGCUACACUGGAUACCCUCUUCCGCUGUCAAAGUCCUUAUAUUAUCGCAAUUGUAAAUCUCCAACUGCUUAAGGCUCGGUGGUAGCUGGACCGCAACAAUAUAUGUCAACGAAUGGCAAUCCUCAAUAUUCAAGAUCUCGAGAGACGAAUUGGUGUCGCACCUCCAUGCCUCUGGUAACGAUUUCAGUGCGUGACAUUCUCUAAUCUUAACUUUCUUCAACUUGGAAGGCAGAGCAACCUCAGGAAAGGAAACAAGGGAACUGCACUUGUAGAUUGCUAUCUCUCUCAAGGAACUGAGGCUGAACGAUGAUUGUGGCAGCUUCACAAGGCUUUCGCAAUCACUCAAUUCUAGAUAUUCAAGUCUGCAUGACAACUCGCAGAGCUGCUGUUGUUGGUCUUUCUCUUCCUCCGCGACCAAGGAUUGAAGUUUGGGACAGCUUGUAAUCAGCAGUCUUUUGAGAGAGCAAAUGUCUUGCAGUAAUUCGUUAUGACUCUUCCAUAUAUAUGUUUCAUUUUUAAUAUUUUUUAUCUCCAAUUCUUCCAGUUUUGGUAUUCGCGGCUUCAAUGGCCCUGCGAGAAACACUUGAUUUGAUGUAUCUCUACAAACCACUGAAUUCUGUGAGCCGAGAUGAUCAGUUGCACUACUCCACACAAUCUUUUUACAUCCACCAAUUUCAAAUUUGCAAAGAGCUGGAAGACUUGCAACUGAAACUAGCAAUUCUUCACAUCCUUCAAUUACAAGCAUCUCCAAUGCAGGAAGGUGUUCUGGAAAUGUUCCUUGCAGCUUAGAACAGCUUAUAAUAUGAAGCUCUCUCAAUUUAGGAAACCCUUCAACUCCCUGACCAGAUCUAAGAGGAAUCCAGUCUUCCCAUUCUUGCAUGUCUUGAAAACGAAGAGUCUCCAAGCAUGGAAAAGGAAUCGGGGAAUCAUUCCCAUAGAACUCUGAACCCAAACUCUUUACUCUACUCAUUCCACGCACUUCAAGAUGCUUUAAAGAGGGUAGUUGCCCGACUGACGGCAGGGCAGUACACAUGCCGCAAUCUUCAAAUUUAAGUGUUACUAAAUUUGAGAAUGAGGAAUCUCCUAACCAUGUUGGAAAUUUUGUACCUCCAUAGCCACAGAUACCAAAUUGUUCCAGAUUUUUAUGGGGUUUGAGCAUGUCAAGCACACCCAUUUCAGUUUCUGCCUCCCUUGAAGAUGAACCAUCGGUACUGCGUGUCCAUCGAAGCAAUAAUUCUCUAAGAUUCUCCUUUACAUCCAAUUGAGCCUCCUUCGCAUUACCAACGUCUUUUACGUUCUCCAAUUUUGAAAUUUCAAGUGGCCCACGAAGAUGCAUCAAUAACUUUAGCUCUGAUAACCCCGAACCACUGUCUUUUCCCACAACAAAAUUACACAACGUCUGAAGACUAGUCAAUCUACCAAUUCCUACUGGCAUUUCCUCCAACGACUUCGUAUUUGAAUUCUUAAGAUGAUGCAAUUUGGUGAGGUUUCCCAUGUCUGCACACAACUUCUUCAGCCGAUCACAAUCUUCCAAGAAAAGACUAUGCAAAUUGUAAAGCUUGUUGACUGAUUCAGGCAGAGUUCUAAUCAUAGUUCCAGAUAGGUUGAGGUAUCUUAAAUACCUCAAAUCACCAAUUGAAUCCGUUAGCUCAUACAUGCAAUAUCCACGCAAAGAGAAGACCCUCAACCGUUGGAGUUUGAACAACUUGGGGAGAAUGCUACGAGCCAAGUAUCCAUGCCACCUAUUUGACAAUGCUACUGGUAAAAAAGUUCGCAAAUGGUGGAUAUCAUGCAAGUCCUCAAACCUUUGAACGCCAUCACAAUAUCCACGAAUGUAUGACAGGUGACGAAAAUUUUUGGAAAAACUUUGUUGCUUGUUAACCUCUGAGUUAUACUCCAUUGUGAAGUAUAUCUCCCCCGCAGCCCAUUGAGCAAGGUCGUUGACAAGGUCGUGCAUCACAAAUCGUGAUUUAUUGUUGCUUGAUUGCUGGAAAAAAGAUCUUGAACGUAGCUCUUGAAAGAACUUUCGACCUAGAUCUUCAUUAGGAUUCCCACUCUCUUUGUGAUCCAAGAAACCCGAGGCACACCAUAAUAAAAUUAUCUCCUCCUCUUCAAAUUCAUAAUCCUUUGGAAACAAUGAGCAGUAUGCAAAGCAUUGUUUCAAAGGUGCCGAAAGAUAAUAGUAGCUCACUGCAAGGGCUGGUAUAAUACCACAUCUCUCUUCUGGUAAUUCCCAUAUCUUGCUACUGAGCACAUCUUCCCACUCACUUCUGUCAUGAUUCCCACGUAAAAGUCCUCCAAGUGUUUGUGCUGCCAAGGGCAAGCCAUCGCAUUUGGUCACUAUCUUCUUGCCGAUUUCCUCCAGUGACUUAUGUGAACUGAAAUCUCUCGUCCCCAAUGAAUGUUGAACGAAUACAGCUAGACAAUCAUUAUCUGACAACUUCUUUAAUUGAUAAGCCGGAACAGUACCCAUAAUUUUAGCAACCUCUUGAUUGCGAGUAGUGACAAUAAUUUUACUUCCCGGUGCGCCAAGUUCAAAGGGACGUCUGAGUUGAUCCCAAUCAUCGUAAUUCCGGUUCCACACGUCAUCUAAAAGAAGCAAAAACUUCUUUCCAGAUAGUUGCUUAUUCAGUUUCUCUUGAAGUGAAUUCAAGUUGAGAUUAUCUACGUUCUGGUCAGCAACAAUGGAUGUUAAGAUUGUUUUUGUUAGCCUGAUAACGUCGAAAUCAUCAGAGACACAAGUCCAUGCCUUGAGAUCAAAAUGAUCCACCACUUGCUUAUCAUUGUAGACAAGCUGAGCAAGAGUGGUUUUGCCCAGCCCACCCAUACCUACAAUAGGUAUAACGGAGAAUCCACCAUCGUUGCUUAAAUCAUCCCUCAACAGCAGUUCAACAACAUCCUUCUUUUCGAUUUCCCUGCCAUAUACUUUGGCUUCCUUCACCAAAGAGGUUGUCUCUCGCCUUUUCCUGUCUUUUGUGGUCCUCCCACCCGAACUUACAUUCAAACCCAGCGAGUCCUUCUGUGUUACAAUAUCUUGAAAUCUGCCAUUGAUCUCUUUGAUUUUGGACAUCAUGGCGUAAUCGAACUGAAUCGAUUGUGGAGUAAAAGUGGUGCAGCAAGUAGGAAUGAGCUUCCGAAACUUACUUGUUCUUGUACGACUGCUACUGGGUUGAUCAUGAGCCGCAGCUGGAUCUCCAUUUCCAAGCAGCAACUUCCUCCGGAAAGCCUCAGUUUGAAACUCAUCCAGCAAGUCUUCAACAUCAAAAGCCAAGUUCUGAAGCUCGCCAAGCCACAACUUUACAGACUGAUCAGUCUUCUUCUCCUCAGCAUCGGCAAGCACCGCCUUGAUUAUCACCAACAUAUUCUUCCACUUCUUUAGAUCGGCUUGGAUUUGCUCUUGGCGUGCAAACAGCCGAAUCCCCUCCGAAGCUAACUUAUUGACCAGCAAAUCAACGGACGCCGUAAGGAUUGCCUCUCCGAUGAAUGACAUUUUUUUCUUCUUUUUCUUUUUUUUUGGUUUUGCAAAGAAAGAAAGGAGCAGAAUUAUGGGUUAUGGAAAGCAGAAUGAGAAAAUGGAUAAUUAAGCAGAAUGAGUUUGUGAUUGUGAAGGGUCUGGCCCAGCAAGCUUAGUAGAAAUCACGCGUUUAUACUUUAUUGACCAAUGACUAAUAAUUUGGCAAUUCACUCAUCACCACCACUUGGUAAGCAAAAUGAAAAUGCUUAGUAAUUAAGUGUCAAGGGUCAAGCAAAAUACGACGUAAAAUGUGUCAAGGGUCUCUCCACUACUUGUUCCUUGCAGCUUAGAAAAGAAAAACAGAGCCCACCACCCAUUAAUAAUUUAGCAAUUCACCAAUCAUCACCACUUGUUACGAAACCAUCUCAUAAACCAAGUUCGUAGGUCGAGCAGUUAAUCCAGUGUCUAUGUCCUAGAACCUUCAUCUCAUAAACCAAGUUCAAUCAAAACGUUCCUCUCUAUAUUUUUUUUUUUUCAAAACUCCUAAAACGUUUCUUUUUAGAGACAUUUUACUUUAUUCAUCUCAUAUGUUAUCUAGCAAAUAGACACAAUUGAAAUCACUCUAAAGUGAAGAUGAAAGGGGAAACAAAUAACCUUCCGACCACCAGUAAUUUAGCAAGCUUCACUUUAUUCCACCAAAGUGUAAAUAAAGCCAGCCCCCACCACCAUCAAUAAUUUUGCAAGCUUCACACGCUUGUUGUCUUCUCCUUGACGAACUGGACAUGAGUGCACCAAGAAUCAAUGACAGAAUUUUAAAAAUAAUAAUAAGAGAAAAACCUACAAAUUUUCGACUUAGAGUAGAACCUUAAUUAAUGCUAAAAUCUACUCAGCUAACAUUUUCAAAAUAUUGUUCUUUAUGAUUUCCAAAACCGUGAUUAAGGUUCAUCUCAAAUGUUUGAAGAGAGUCUAUCAGUUCUUCUACGUUAAGAAUAUCAAAAUUCUUGCUUUUUCUUCAAAUGUUGAAUAAUAAAAAAAAAAAGUUGAAUAUGGAGGAAAAUAGAAUGCAUCCAUCUUCGCUGCUGUAGAAGUCUUCUACUUAUAAAAGUAAGUUAGAAUAAACAAUUUUAAUCUCUCUUUUUAUUCCUACAAGUGCACUACAUUUUUUUUUUAAUCUCAAUGCAAAGUCGUAUCGAAAUGUUAUAUUCCUAUUGUAAAACAAAAUUUUAGAUAAAACAAAUUCGACUCAUUUUUUAAAGAUAUAUAUUUAGUAGGUUACCAACAUAACUAACAAAACGUGAUUAUUACACUAAAUGAAAUAAAUGACAGUACUAUCACCAAUAAUUUAGCAAGUUUCGCAUGCAUGUGUUUCUAAAAACAUUAUAUGGAAUCAAACAACAGUGAUACAAAGAGAAAAGUAGAAAUCCUCUGAUUAUAUUUUUUUUUUCUUUUUCAAAAGAAAUGGUGGGGUUGGUUUGUUUGCAAAGUUAUUAGCGAGGGUCUAUUUGUUUUUGUUUUAACUUUAUUAAUCAAUAAGCAAACAUGUAAUGAUUUGUAUAUAUCACUAGCAUCACAUUAUUGGGAGGUAUUGCGCUUAAUAUUCACAAUUUUUGUAAGAUGAAUUUGUAAGACUAAUUAAUUUUGAUGAAAAUGUAUCGUUACUAAGAUAUUAUUUAAUUCAUUAAGUUAACUUGAGGUAUUAAUAUUUACUAAUUGUGGUGCUGAUUAAUUUAUUUAACUUGUCACUAUUUGCAAUUAAGAAUGAAGUUCAAUCAAUUUAUUGAGUAAAAAAAAAACAAAGAUGCAUUUUUUUCUUUAGAUUUUAAUUCUUAGGAUUUGAUUUCACGCUCUUUUGUUUUUUUACGUUGCUAAAGAGGCAGUAAAAAGUUUGCUGAAUGUCAUCAAAUACUUGUAUCUCAUCUCACAAAUUGGUAAUAUUUGUUUGGUAUUUCAUCUCAACAGACGCAGUAAGGAUUACCUCUCCAAUGACUGACAUUUUUUUUUUUUUUUUGGGGACAAAGAAAGAAACAGAAUUUUGAGUUUCGAAAAGCAAAAUAAGAAAAUUGAGCAGUAAGUGUGAAGGGUCAAGCAAAAUGCAUGUAGCAAGUCUUCGACUUGUUGUUUAUCCCACUAAAGUGAAAAUAAAAACAGAGCCCACGACCCCUUAAUAAUUGAGCAAUUCACCAAUUACGAGUCACCACCACUCGUUACCAUGAAUAUAAUAAAUUGCACCUUGAUAUUUGCAGGGUCCAGCAACAUUGACCUAGUGUCCGGGUAAAUGCUGAAUAAAGAGGAAAAUGGAAUGUAUCCACUCCGAACCUUCGCUUUACAACAAUUUUUAAGAAUCACAAUGGUAAUUCCUACUAUCAUGUUAUCUUAAUGUCGUGUUAAAAUAAAUUAUAAUAUAUUUUUUAUAUGAACACUCUUUUCAUUUAUAAAUUUUUAAGUUUCUAAUAUUUUUCUCAUUUUUUUAAUCUUAAUAUUUAUAUUCCUCUCUUCAAAUUUUUUUAUUAUUUAAUUUUUAAAGAAAAAUAUGAAAAAAAUAAGAAAAACAUUAUACUUAGAAAAUAAUUAAUAUUUUAUGGGUCUAAUGCAAUUUUGUCUCACCUAUAAAUUUUUUUGUUUAGCAAUUAGUUUGAGAAUCUUAAAAAAUUAUUUGCAGUAGGAUAAAAUUUAAUUUAAUUUAUUUUUUUACUGUAUUGUAUCUUAAUUAAUUAAGUUGUUAUGUUUAUUACAAGAAUUUUGUUUUGGCUUAGAGGAUUGCUUCUUAAAUUCAUAUUAUUUUAAUGAUAAUAAAAGAUAUUUAUAUUGUGCAAGCAAAAUAAAAUGAAGAGAGAAAGAAAAUAUAAAUGACUUAAUUCUAUUUAUAUUUGUCCUCAAAUGUAAUUGUAGUAUAAUAGGAGUUUUAUAAGAUUAAUGAAGGGGUGCCAAUAGUCGUACUCUUAUAGAAAAUGACUGUAAUAAUAGUGGAAAUUUAGUGUAAUAAAAAGGAUAAACCGUAAGAAAUUAAUGUUUACUUCAAGAUACGUUAUAAUUAUUGUUUUUCUUAAGAUGUUAUUUGCCUCCACCAAUCGAAUGAUGCACAUGAAUUAAGCAAAAAUGCCUCCAUGAUACAAUAAAAUGCUUAUUUAUUUGUUUACGUUAUAUGUCGACGAAGCAAACUUGAAUACUUUUUAAUGUUGUAAGCGUGCCAAAAAUCAAUAUAUUAUUUCUACAAAAAGAAACAAUAUAUUAGAUAUUUAAAGUAGAAAAAAUAGAUGUUGAUUGAUGAAAUUUUAUUUAGGAAAGACAGCUAAGAAAAGAAUGGUGUAACGCCAUUUUAUUCAUGUCUAAAUAGCCUAAAUAUGACCUCUAUUUAUAUAUACACUUAUGCCCUAUUAUUUGGAUUGUCGUUCUUUUAUAAUACUCGUUCAUUCAUGGUCAUUAGCUCAAACAAUCGAAUUCCUACUAUAGCUAAUUAACUUAUUGACCAGCAACUUAAAGGAUGCCAUAAGGAUUGCCUCUUUGAUUAUUGACGUUUUUUUUCUCUCUUUUUUGGUUUUUUUUUGGGUUUUGGGGGGGGGGGGGGGGGGGGGGGGGGGGGGUUAUGGAAAUUAAAGCAUAUAAGAAAGUCAAUUACAGCGGAAUGAGUUUGUGAUUGUGAAAUGUCGAGCAAGUCUAGAAACUAAUUAGGCAAAACCCACCACGAAAGCUAAAAAGGAAAAAUAGCGCCCACCACAAAUAUAAAAUUGGAGGAGAUCAGGAUCAUUCCUUUGCUUUACAUAUUAAAUUAAAUAAAGGAAAAUGAUAAACGAACUCAAUGAAGACAAAACGACGAUAAAAAUGUAACUUUAAAUUGCCGAUUCACGCGUUAGAUUUUUCUACUUUUAAACUUGCGUGGACCCACAAGAAAUAAAAAAAAAUGAAAAAAUGAUGGUCAUUUCUGGUAACUCUCCAAAAAAUAAUAAAAUAAAGAAAAAAGGAAUGAAAAGCUGGUCAUUUCUCCCCCUCACUUCGGCCAUUAUCAUCCUUGUUUCGCUGGUGAAACGCUCUCGAAAAAUUUGUAGACAAAUCAGAGUAAAGGGAAACAACUUUGGAAAUGUUUCUCACGCUCUCAACUACAGCAAGCAGUGAAUUGCAUCAGAUAUUAGUGAAGAAUAAUUGCCAACCGUAAACUCAGCUCCUUCAGUUGCUAGUGUAUACCAAUAGAGCAAUAGGUUGUGUUUGGGGAUGUUAGAUGUAGAAAUAAUUGAGGCAAAAUUCUUUUAUGCAAUUGUUGGCUUGUGUCGACUUUUUGAAAGGAAACUUAUUUUUGGGCUGUCAAUGUUACUUAUUUGUUAGUUUAUUUCUUAGGUUUUGUUGUUUGGGAUAUUAUGUAUUGGAUUUCAUUUCCUUUUGCCUCUGGUAUGGCCCCUAAUAGAACUUGAUGUUAUUCUUUUUGGGAUAUGUUUUUCUGAAUUAGAGAUGACAUCAUUAGCAUCUGGUCUUUCUCUUUGAGACAGCCGAGAGAGUGAGGUGCCGUGAGAGAUGCAAUCGAUGGGGGAGAGAGAGAGAGGGAGCCGACAGUGAGAGCUCAGAUGCUGAAUGGAGUGAAGCGACAGACAAAGGGACCCACGUUUCUGUCGUCCUUUGUCGUCGCAGAGUUCAAAUAGCAGAACUCUUAAAUAAAAGCCAAACUAAGAACCUUGCCUUUGCUCAACAUGAUUAAUUAGGCACUACUUUAGAAAAAACACGAAAGUAAUAAAUCUUGUAUUAAUCUUAAAUUUUAGGACUAAAGCUACAUUUUUUUUUUUUUUUGUUUUGCAAAGAAAGAAACAGAAUUUUGAGUUUUGAAAGCAAAAUGAGAAAAUUGAACAGUAAGUGUGGAGGGUCAAGCCAAAUGCGCGUAACAGGUCUUCCGCUUGCUGUCUAUUCCAGUACAGAGCCCACCACCCAUUAAUAAUUGAGCAAUUCACCAAUCACCAAUCUGGCAGUCACCACCCCUCGUUACCAUGAAUAUAAUGAAUUGCACCUUGAUAUUUGCAGGGUCCAUCAACAUUGACCCGGUGUCUGGGUUAAUGCUGAAAAAUAUGAAAAAAAGAAAAAAAAAUAUUAUACUUAGAAAAUAAUUAAUAUUUUAUGGGUCUAAUGUAAUUUUGUCUCACCUAUAAAUUUUUUUAUUUAGCAAUUAGUUUGAGAAUCUUAAAAAAUUAUUUGCAGUAGGAUAAAAUUUUAUUUAAUUUAUUUUUUUACUGUAUUGUAUCUUAAUUAAUUAAGUUGUUAUGUUUAUUACAAGAAUUUUGUUUUGGCUUAGAGGAUUGCUUCUUAAAUUCAUAUUAUUUUAAUGAUAAUAAAAGAUAUUUAUAUUGUGCAAGCAAAAUAAAAUGAAGAGAGAAAGAAAAUAUAAAUGACUUAAUUCUAUUUAUAUUUGUCCUCAAAUGUAAUUGUAGUAUAAUAGGAGUUUUAUAAGAUUAAUGAAGGGGUGCCAAUAGUCGUACUCUUAUAGAAAAUGACUGUAAUAAUAGUGGAAAUUUAGUGUAAUAAAAAGGAUAAACCGUAAGAAAUUAAUGUUUACUUCAAGAUACGUUAUAAAUAUUGUUUUUCUUAAGAUGUUAUUUGCCUCCACCAAUCGAAUGAUGCACAUGAAUUAAGCAAAUAUGCUUCCAUGAUACAAUAAAGUGCUUAUUUAUUUGUUUACGUUGUAUGUCGACGAAGCAAACUUAAAUACUUUUGAAUGUUGUAAACCUACCAAGAAUCAAUAUAUUAUUUCUACAAAAAGAAACAAUAUAUUAGAUAUUUAAAGCAUAAAAAAUAGAUGUUAAUUGAUUAAAUUUGAUUUAGGAAAGACAGCUAAGAAAAGAGUGGUGUAACGUCAUUUUAUUAAUGUUUAAAUAGUCUAAAUAUGACCUCUAUUUGUACAUACACUUAUACCCUAUUAUUUGGAUUAUAUUUUUUUUAUAAUACUCAUGCAUUCAUGGUUAUUAGAUCAAACAAUUAAAUCCCUACUAUAGCUACUUAACUUAUUGACCAGCAACUUAAAGGAUGCCAUAAGGAUUGCCUCUCAGAUGAUUGACAUUUUUUUUUCACUUUUUUUAUAGUUUUUUUUGGUGUGUUUGGGGGAGGGGGGGGGGGGAGUUUAUGAAAAUUAAAGCAAAUAAGAAAGUCAAUUACAGCAGAAUGAGUUUGUGAUUGUGAAAGGUCGAGCAAGUCUACAAAUCAAUUAGACAAAACCCACCACGAGAGUUAAAAUGGAAAAAUAGCGCCCACCACAAAUAUAAAAUUGGAGGAGCUCAAGAUCCUGCCUUUGCUUUACAUAUAAAAGCCAAACCAAUAACCUUGCCUUUGCUUAACAUGAUUAAUUAAGCACUACUUCAGAAAGAAUACAAAAGUAAUGAACCUUGUAUUAAUCUUAAAUUUUAGGAAUAAAGCUACAUUUUCUCCUCUUACCAUCUUUUCAUGUUCAUUUCAAAAGUUUGAAGAGAGUUUAUCCAUUCUUCUUCUAAACUAAGAAAAUCAACAUUCUUACUUUCUUCAAAUGUUGAAUAAAGAAAAAUAAAUUAUUGAAUAAGGAGGAAAUUAGAAUGUAUUUACCUUCGCUAACCUAAAAUAAAAAAAAAAUUAAUCUCUCUUUUAUUACUAAAGUACACUAUUUUUUUAAUAAUUGUAUUGAUAAUGACAAUAUAUAUCAUCGAUUAUAUUCUUGUUGUGUUGAAAUAAGGUAUAAAAAAUUUUGGAUCAAGAGGAAUUCGACUCAUUUGUUAAAGGUACAUAUUUAAUAUACUAAAAACAAAAAUUAACAUAAACAUGAUUAUUACACUAAAGUGAAAUGAAAGCCAGUACCCGCCGGUUCACCAACAGUAAUUUAGCAAACUUUGCAUUCUAGGAAAUGGACAUUGGUGAAUUAACCAAAGAAGACUUCCUUUGAUAAUGCGGGUAACGCCGGUCUGUCAUGGAAUGGACAUUGGUGAAUUCACCAAUGUCCAUUUCAAAGAAGACUUCCUUUGAAAUGGACAUUGGUGAAUUCGACUUCCUUUGACGUUUAGUUGACUAUUUUCACAUCUAGCAGCCCUUGGCGUUUUGUUUUCGUUCGCUCUGUCGUCUUCAUCGCUCUGUCGUCUUCGAUCUUUAUGGCGACAUGGGUAUAUGUGUAUGGUAAACUGUGCGGGUGAAGAGUGUCGACAUGAUGCUGUCACCUUGCUUUAAUUAAUUGCAGUGACGUUAUAAAGUAAGCCUCAAAAAUUUAAAAUCGUGGGUCAAGCCCUGGUGUACAAAUCAGAAGUUGUAACAAAGAAGAAUUUAAAUUUUUUCUUCUUUCUUUCAUGCAUUAGGCUCGUUAACAAUUCAACAUACCAGGGAUGAGGGAUGCAAGGAAACAAUUAUUUGGUUUGAGUGUUUGGUAUUUUCUCGAUUCAUUCAGAAUUUGAUGAGUUUUUCUGUUUAAAUUGUGCGUAUAAUUUUUAUUUUUAAUUUUCUGACGUCGAUAUCUUUAGCAUAGAUUUUGUCUAUGAUACAUUAAAAAAGUUUGAAUCGCACAUGAUUCACUGUGUUGUAAGAGUAAAAUUUCUUCUUAUUAUUUAGAAUUCAUAUUUUUCAACUAAACUUUUAAUACAAUAUAUCGAGACAGAUCCUCGUGAUGCACAUACAUUUUCGCUUUUAGCCGUGCUGCCUGCUCUCAAAUGUACACUUAUAAAUUCCAAAUGAAAAGAAAUUUUGAAAUUGCGCAGCUCUGGCCAGGGAUCACCUUUUUUCCUUGCUAUUAUCUACAAUAUUUAUUUUUGCAAUCCGCAUGCAUGCUCGGUUAUGAUCACCCACGUGAUCGGCAUUAAGUUUUUUUUUAUCUUCUUAUUAACAAAUUAUUUAGUGUGCGGACUCCAUUCAUGCUCCCACGUUAAUCUUUCCAAAUUUUGUGCAAUAAAAGUUCAGCCGAUCCGCUAUUCACUUUGCCACAGUCUGCUACUUCAUUCUAUUUGUUUACUGCAUAUGAAUCAUUAAUCAUAUGAAACCAGAAGCAAGACCUCGCAAAAGCAACUUAAUUACUUCGUGAGUUUUAAUUUGGGAAUUGGAGGUUUCUUCUGAUUUGAACAAUAUGGAAACUACCUGUGCAAGUUUUUUUUUUUUUGGGCGAAUUUCAGUUCAAUAUCAUUUAUAAUUCUUAUUUCAAUAUAUUUAGAAAUAAGUUUAAUAAUAUUAAAUUUUCACUUAAGAAUGACCGGUGGGAGGGUCAAGCAGAUAUGCCUGAUUUGGGUGUUGGAAUAUUUAUAGUGGUCCAUGUGCCACAUUAUUGAAUUAGUAAUAAUUUAGAAUUUAAAUGAUAAAAUAAAUAAUGGGCCAAAAUCUUAUUGGUCAAUUGGGAAAAUCUAACGGCCCACUUUAAUGGAAAGUGGAAAUAAGAGUUUUAUUGAAAUUGAUUUUCUCUCUCUCUAUAUAUAUAUAUCACGUUAAUUUUCGCUCCAUCAAGAAAACGAAUCACUCUAAAGGGGUCAAGAGAUAAAAAUUAAUUUUACUAAUAUUUAAUUUUUUACAGUGAGAUUUAAUCAAGAAGAUUGUUAUGGAUCAAGAUAUGUUUUCUCUCAAUUAUGAUGAUGUGAAAAUCAUGAUAUUUUAUGAUCUUAGGGAUUGAAGUUUAUGUAAAUUAGGGUUUAUUUGCUUUACAAGAGGUGUACAAAUUCUCAACAACUGGUAGCAGAGCAUGGUUUAAGAAUUUAUGAUUUUCUAUUAAGAUCUGUAAUAACCCUUUCUUAAUUUUCAAUUGUCCUUAUGAGUAUAUGUCAAUUUGGAUUAUUAUUCCACAUAUACAUAAUGUAUAAAGAAAAGAGUAAUGAUACUGCCACAAACUCUUGUACAAAUUUAUUUUGUACAAACUGACGUGUCAUUAAUUCACUGGUUGAAUGAAAAUAUAAAUUAAUAAAAACAAAUUAUAUGGGCUAAGUGAUAUUUAAUUCAACCAAUCUUAUCAUGCCUCAUCAAUUUGUACAAAAUAAGUUUAUAUAAGAGUUUGUGACUGUAUCAUUACUCUAAAGAAAAUUAUUGGCAUAGAAAUUUUUUGCACAAAAAAAAAAAUCCAAGAUGUUUUUGACUGUUGGCGGCACAAUACAUAAAGGUGAAAUUAGGUUAUCUUUUGGAUUUUUUCAUGAGACACCCUAAGGUUUGUUUAGUUUAUGCUUUUGGCCAAAGUUUAUAAUUUUGUUUCAUUUAAGUCCAAUUGAAUUUGCAACGGCCAUCACAUGCUGUCUUCAAGCCGAAAUUUAGGAGCAAUUGCAUGUGAAAUUGCAGUGUAGUCCCUGGUAUUCUAUUUUAUUAAAUUAAAGAUAUGAUUAAUUGGAUUUAGUAUGAUAAAGCCGCCGACUUUAUGUGCAUCAAGCCUUAUAAGUUUUGUUCUCGUAAUUUUGAAGCCUCCGCUCAUUAAUUAAUGAUCUCCAAAAUUUCUUAAUGUUCCAAUUUUAAUGUUUGAAAUUUGAAUUGAUGUUUGUGGUUUUAUUUACUUUAUUAAAGAAAUUACUUUGUUAUAAAUGUUCAAUUUGACAUUCAUAUUAUGAUAAUUUGUUAGUUACUAAAGUAGCCAAAUUAGAAAGUUUUCAUAGAUGUCAAAUUAAAUUCAAUUUCAAGUUCUCAUAAUUAUUGUGAUGCGUAUUAUUUAAUGACAUGAUGAUCUUGUUGUAUGAGUAUAUUGAAAUUCACAGAUUAUAAAAUAUUUAGGAAUUGCUCAAAGGUUGAUUAAUUAAUUUUAUAAUAUAUGAUCAUGAUUUGUGGAUAAUUAAUAUGCUUGAUUAGAUAUGUUUAGUAUAUCCAAAGAUAGCAAGCGUGUCUAGUUUAUGUAUAGUUGAUUACUAAUUAUGUGAAAUUAAAGUUAAGCAUCAAUUAUGUUUAUUGCAGUGUAUUGUUGUAUCACCAAAUAAAUUAAGCUUCUUAAUUUUAUGUCAGUAAGUAUUAAUAAAUUAAUAUAGGUAACAUUAAAUAAUUUAAAUUAGCUGUAGAAAAUUUUAAAAUAUUUUAUUCAUAAUAAAAAAUUAGCGAUAUUAUAUCAUGAAUUAAUUAAUAUGUAAAUUAUUUAUUUAUCAAAAUCAUUUUCAUUUAAUUAAAUAUUAAUUGAGGUUUAAUUAUUAGUUAUCAAUAAAAAUUAACAUGGUAUUGUCUUUUUUAUGGUCCUGGCCCCCAUCUCCAAAUUAGAAGCAAUUCUCAAACCCGCCCCAUACCUAAAAGUUCACAUUUGGGGAGCAUCCCCAAUUUUGUGUAUGUAUAUAUGAUUUGGUGAGUUACAAGAAGCAUUACCAGCAAAAGCACAGAAAUGGUUUCGUUUCAGAAGCAAAUAUGAUGCUAAGGAAAGUUUCGUCUUCAGCAUAAUAACUAUAUAAUAUCAUAAUGAAUUGGUGUGCAUUAACCAUGCUCCAGGUUGAUUUGGAAAGUCAUGAUGCUGUUUCCAUUUCAAUUUAGACUCCUUGCUUAUCAGCCAAAUGAUUUAUAAGUAAUAGCCAGUAGAAGUUUUUCUCAAAAUGGAAAUAAGUUGUCUUACUGGGAGAGUCCACAUAUGGUAUCUAAUUUGUGGUGUUAUUAUUUCAAUUGUAAGUUCCCUAAUUCUGGCCAAUGUACAGAUUCAGAAAAUUAUAUUUGGUGAGUUUUUUUUUUUUUUUUUUUUUUUUUAAAGGUUUUGGAUACAACGGCAAGAGAUAGGGAAAAACAACAAAGGGAGAGUCAAAACUCCACAUUAAGCUAACAUUUGAAUUUCCAUUUAUACUUUGCUCCACUCAUUCUAAUGUUUACUGGCUAAUUGUAGUUUAUGGUGUAGCAUCCAAAAAAGAUGACUCGUAGAAUUUAUUCUUUCGGACCACUAAGUAGCUUAAACACACACACACACAAACACAUGUACAUAUGAACGUGUGUGUAUGUAUAUGUAUAUAUAUAUGUAGGUGUGUAUAUAUAGUCCUUCCCUAAUAUAGACAUCUCUUUUUCUUUUUUUUUUUUUCUACAUAGACACACUAUCACUAGUAGAAAAAUAGCCUUCUAUGAUACUAUUUUGGCAUCAACAGCUUAUUUUACUAACACCGAGUCUAGUGUCACUAAUCACGAUGCAAGAAAUUUACUGACACAAAUUUUUUGUGUCAACAAUUCUGUGUUACCUUAGAAUCAAAGAAAUGCUGAUUCCAUAGUAUCAAAAUAAUUGCAAUUCUAUACAAUCAUGUAGAUAGUGAUUCUAUGGUAUGAAGCAAGUUUUGAUGCUCUAAUGUCAUUUAUGUUCUGAUUCAAUAAUAUUGGUAUUUACCAAUGCUAUAUUGGUGUCAACAGUUUUAAAAGUAUUUAAAAAAAAAUGAAAUGGUCAUUAUUACAAUUGUCAAUAAACUGGAAUCAAAACUUAAUAAUCAACAUUUUUGAAUAAUGAUUAUGAAACAAAUGUUGGUAUCAAAAUCCAAUAAACUCCAUUUAACAAUUGCCAAUAGGCUCCAUUCAGUAUUCAAUAUUCAACAUUCAACAUUGAAUAACCAAAUUGGUUCUAUCCAAUAUUCAGUAACCAAAUUCAUCAACCACAGUUUCAAUAGCACAACAAUGCUAAAAACCACAGCUAGUUUCUAAUCUAAAAAAACUACAACUUAUUUGUCAUUACGGCAACCUGAGUGGCAGUACUAAACAAUAAAGGCAAAUGGAAUUGGUGUGCUACCGCUAUCAUUCUCCAUGAUCUUCAAUGGCCUGAAUAAUAGUACCAACAAGAAGCAACGACAAUACUCAAUUCCAACAAAAUCCACCCAACAAAGGAAAAUGGUUCAUCAAAUUUUGAAAAUAGAGAGAGCUUUUGGUGCUCUAUUUCAUAACUUUUAUUUAAUCAAAGGAAAAUGCUUAACAUCUCGAAAGCUGAGAGAAGACUGAGAGAAACGGCAGCAUGUGCUGCCGUUUUGCCUCUCUCCUCUCAGCCUGAUAAUAACUUUUUAUUAUUAAAAAUUAAAAAAAAAUAGCAUUAUGGGGAUAAACAAAAAUUUAAUCAUUCGGGACAAACAAAAGCAAGCAGUCCACGUGCUUUCUGUUUGUCUCACUCUUCUUUUUGUUUUUUUUAAUUAAAAAUAUAUAAAAGGGGAAGAAUUAUUAUAACUUGCAUCUCUCUCACCUACCUCCUUAACUCUCCACAUUAAGGACCUCAGUCACUCGACUCUAUCUGACUUUCUCUCCUCUAAUAACCAGUAAUUUUCACAACAAUUUUCAUACAAUUAAUAUUCCAAACCAAAAAUUCAUCUUUAUCAUCAAAUAAUUACCACCAAAAUUUACAAAACUAAUCCAAGAAUGCACAGGAAAAAAAUUCAUUUUCUUUCACUGAUCAUCUUCUGUAUUUGGUAGCCGGAGAGUUCUGUAUUUGGUGGCCUGAGAGAGUGAAGAAGCGGUGAGGGGUAGUGACGAUUCGGAGAUGAGGAUAGAGCCGAGGAUGAGUAAAGAAGUGAGGUAGGAUGAGUUUGAGCUGUGCAAUAGUCAUGAGUGAGGGAGGAUCGAUAUCUCUCUAGAUCCACUCACACUGAGAGAUCACUAGCUAAGAGAAGAAGAGAGCACUAGCAGAUGCAGUAGUGAGAGAGAAAGGGAGUGGUGAUGGCACGAGAACUGAGAGAGAGAGAGAGAGAGUGUGAUGUUUUUGUCCCCAUCGAGCUUUUUUUUAAUAAUAAAAAAGUAUUUUAUGGCUGAGAGGAAGGAGAGAGGCGAAACGGCAGCACAAGCUGCCGUUUCUCUCACUCUUCUCUCAGCUUUCUAGAUGUUUAGCACUCCUCUUAAUCAAAACAUCUUGGUUUGGGUACGAGGCUGACAAGGUCUCCGAAUCCAAAAUUUUGUUGGAUGUUGGGCCUAUCCUCGAAAUAGUUUCGAUUCUGUUUUUGUGGAUAAUAGCAAGAUAAAAAUUGUGGUGGAUACAGUACAUAACGCGAAACAAAUAAGAUUACAAUUAAAUUAAACGCAAGAAAUUACUUUUCUAGCAAAAGCUUAAUCCAACCCCUCCAUUACUUCUUUUUUAUGGAUAUAUAUUCUUUAAUUAUUUUUUGUUAUUUUACUUCCUGCUCAUCAAGUUUGUGAUGUUUACAACAAUUAUUCAUUUGAAAAGUUAUCCAAUGAUGUCAAGACGUGAAAAUUGAGAAUAUGUAUAGCGAAAAAAGUUUUCUUCCUCCUCCCUUAUUGAUUCAAAUUAAAAAAAAAUUUAACGGAUUUAAUGUGGUUUAAAAGUUCAAUUUUAUAUAACAUUUUAAUGACAUAAAUGGAACAGAUCAAUCACAUAAUCGAACAUAAUGAUAAGAAUCUUCUUGCUAUAUGUGCAAGUUGAAUUAUAUAAUCUUGAUUUUGGAAAAUGUGACCAGAACUGCAAAAAUGAAGAUUAAUUAACCUUGGAUGACAAUGAUUAAUACCCGUCCAUUUCUCCUAAGCUCUGUUUCUUACUUUGAUGCGCACAUGACUUGAAAGCUUCAUCUUCCGCUAACUCCCUUUCGUGAAACGUACUAACAAAUAACAGUAGCCUACUAACAAAUUAAGAAAUAAUCCAAUAUCUUUAGUACAAAUCCAAAUAGUCUCAUUUUGAUUUUGAGCUAGCUUUUUAAUUCCACACUCAGAGACAAAAUUUUGUGAAUUCACAUUAUUUAACAAAAUAAUUAACAAAUUAAUUGUGAUUAUGGUUGACGAUCAUGUUGAUAAGCAUCAUAUACACUAUCGUUGCAUAUUUAGUGAAAUGAUGCAAGGACGAAGUAUCACUUGGCUGUAAGAAUUAGUUACCCAACAAAUUGUGGAGUUUGUUUUAGAUAAAAUAAAUAAAUAAAUAAAUAAUAGAGAGCAUAGUUAAGCCGACAUGGAUAGACUAACUUAAACAAUAUAUUGCACACAAUGAUUAUUUUUAUUAACUUCCUUUUUUAAGAAGACACUGUACACAAAAGUAAAUAAAAAAAAAAAAUCUCUUGUACAGCUCAAGAGAUUUUAUAAGUUGAACUGAGCCAAACAAAGACACUCACACAAUUGAUAGAUAAUGAUAACCCAUCAUUUUAUUUAAUUAAUAUAAUACGGAAAGAGUAACUCGCACUUAACUAGUGUAGUUGGGAUUUCUUCCGUGUUGAGGGACAAUAAAGAGAUCUAUAUUAUCGUUCAUGCUCUCAUCAUUAACAAUACUUAUCAGAGAUAUUGGAUAACCCUCAGACCACUCGACCUUCCCUAAAAAUUCACAACAACAAUUGUAUUCAUUAAUACAUACAUUAAAAUAAAAAUUAUAAAUGACAUUCAACUGAACAUGGCCUGAGAACCUGGAUAAGGAGCUUCCAUGUUCUUCAAAUUAGAAAAGAUAUCUUCUAACUUCUGGUGAACCGUAAUCGAAAUUGAAGUUGCUUUUGUUUCUGGUUUGAUAAUAUGUUGCUGAUGUAUUUAUUUACGAGUCUUCGUAUAGUACAGUGUUGUAUGCAAUACAGCCCCUUCAACAGUAAAAAGGAAACUUGAACAACCGGUAUUUUACCGGUUGUACAUUUAAUAAAUUUUUAAAAAUUAUUUUUAAUGCAGAAAAAAUAAAAUAAAACGUAAAAAAUUAAGGCAAUUUUGUAAAUAUUUAACACAAACAAUGUUUGAGAGAAAAAAAUAUUUUUAAUUUCAACAAAAGUUAAAAAAAUUAAAGUAAGCAUGUCUCGACUCUUUUGUUUUAAUGUCAAUAUAUUAGGUGACAUUCCAAGUUAAUUUCACAUAUACCUAAUUUUGAUUAAACUUUCUCACUAGUUGGUUUGCUUAUCUCCACAUUCCAAGUUUAAUAUUCCCACUAAACUCGUUAAAUACUAAUAUUUUGGGUCAAAUUCCAAUUAAAUUUAUUUCUCGUUAGACAAGUAUCAAAAUUCCGUUAAACUUUCUCCACAUUUGGUUCAUGUGUUUCAACGAUUAUUCUACUAGUUUUUCAUUUAAUAUUUCAACUAGUUUAUCAAGAUUCCAAUUAUAUGGGUUAGAUAUUGAUAUCACUUUUUUUGGUUUGAUUAGUUCUAAAUUUUGGUAAUGUUUUUCCAUCUAUAGGUUCACAUGUUUCAACUUAUUGGUCCACUAAUUUUACGUUUGAUAUUUCUACUAAAUUUGUCAAGUACCAAUAUUUAUUGUUAGCUUCCAAGUAAUUAACAUUCGUCGUUAUUCUUAACAGCAAUGACUAGAAUUAUAAUAAGAACAAUAACGUUAAUACAAUAAUAUAACAACAUAAUAAUAUUUUAAUUGAGAGGAUAAGAAUGAAAUUAUGAAAUUUAGGUUGGGUAAAAAUGGUGAGUAUGAGGAAAUUAAAUUACCAUUUUUUAAGCUAAACAAUUCAUAAAUUCCACAUAUUUCAUUCUUAUUUCUCUUAUAUUUUAACAAAUAAACAUUAUCAAUCGUUUUAAUAUUUUUAUUAAUAAACACGAUAUUAACUACGAAACUAAAAGAUCCCAAAAAAAAAAAAAAAAAACAGAGACGCGUGUAUGCAUUGCUUGUGACAAAUCUCACCCAUGGAAAACUUUGUGAAAGGCAUUUGAAUUUGUGGCCACAUUUAAUGAACGAAACGAUAACUUUAAAAGAAAGUAUGUACUCUGUUAAUUAUUAGGCUUUAGCCUGAUGAUUGCAAUUAGUUUGUCUUUUAAUUAAAUUAUUGCCGACAAACACUAUCACGACCCACGUCCGCUCCUAGUGUGAAUGUGUGUAUAAAUAUCCGCAGCAUAUUAUCAAACCUGAUGCGUGAUCAUCUUUAAGUUUUGGUUACGGUUAAUCAGACGUCAGAAGAUAUCUUUUCUAAUUUGAAGCAGAUGGAAACUCCUUAUUCAGGUUCUUAGGCCAUGUUCAGUUGAAUGUCAUUUAUAAUUUUUAUUUUAACAUUAUGUAUCUACGAAUACAAUUAUUGUUAUGAUUUUUUCAGGUAAAAAUGGAUGGUCUGAGGGUAACCCAAUAACUAUGUACAUUAUUAUUAAUGAUGAGAGCGUGAAUGAUAAUUUGGAUUUUAUUCUCGUCCCUCAAUACAGAAGAAAUCUUGACCAUAGUGGUUAAAUGCUAUAUAACUCUUUCGUAUUAUGUUUAAUUAAUAAUAAAAUGAUGGGUUAUUAUUACCUGUCAAUUAUGUGAGUGUCUUUGUUUGGUUUAGUUCAACUUAUAAAAUCUCUUGAGAUCUAUAAGAGAUUUUCUUUGUUUACUUUCAUGUACCGCGUCUUCUUGUAAAAAGAAAUUAAUAAAAAAAAAUUAUCAUUGUGUGCAAUGUAUUGACUAAGUUAGUGUAUUCAUGUUAGCUUAAUUGUGCUCUCUCUCCUUGGGUUUUUUCUUUAAAAAAAAAAAAAAAAACUCCACGUAUUGUUGGUUAGCUAAUUCUUGCAGGUAGCAAGUGAUCGAUACUUUUCUUUCCCCUACUGCUGUAGCAUCAAAUCCUUACAAUUACAUAUCAAGUGGUAUUCGAGCCGUCAAAUGAUCCAUGGAAACACGCAACAAAUCAAAUGCUGAAUUUUGCGAAGAGAUUCACGAAAUCCUUGCUAUACAUGAGUCUAGUUUUGACCAAGUUCGCGUCACCCAUCAGCUGCGGGUUUGAAUGGUACCUAGUGGAUAUUUUGUGAGUUCCCACUAAUAAAAUCACACUUGCAACAAAACUUAAAAAUUUAAAUUACGUAAUUCAAAUUAUAAAUUUAUAAUCGUAGCCUAAAAAAUCACAUAAAAUACUUAAUUUUAUAUUUUAUCAAUGUAAAUGAGAAAUGAAAGUUUUAACAUUAAAAUAAAUACACAAAAUAUAUCAAUUUAACACAAAUUCUCAAAUUUAAUUACCAAAUACAUAAGUCUAUCGCAACUCAAAGUGCUUUCAAUUGAAAACAAAAAAAAGAGAAAGAGAAAAAAAAAACAAAGAACUACAAAUCAAAGUAGCAGCCAUGACCCAUUUUGCAGUCUCAUUCGAUACCAUUAGCACCCAUCCAACACAAUUUUUCUAAACAAAGUAUAAAGUACAAAAUUACAAUAAGCAUAUCAUACUCCAUGCUUUAAGUUAAAGAUCCUUAUAUAUUUUUAUGAAUAAUUUUUUAAUGAAAUUUUAUGAUUAAAAUUAAAAAUACAAACAUUCAAAUAAGAAUGUCAGACACUUGCGCAACUAUUUACCAAAUUUUUUUCUCUAUAAAAAUCGACCUGCAACUUUCAAUAGGUUUAAAUUUAUAAUAUCAAACCUGAUUGCAGCUCGCAAAAAUUAUCCGUUGCGGCCAAGACUUUGGAUUUGCGAUGAUUUUGCCACCCUAAGUGUAGUUAGUAUUGUAUAUCAUGUGGCUCUUAUAAAAAGCCUAGAAGUUGUUUGAAUAACGGGGGAGACACAUAUCUCCCAAAGAUUUUCUCUUUUUCAAAUUAUUAUUUUUUCUCUAUUAUUGUAACUUCGAAUCCUUAUAAAUUACAAAUUGGAGACAUGAACACAAUGUUUUGACAUAGUGGACUUUUGGCUUGUCCAGAGAAAUUUAGGAUAGAUUUUUACGCACUAAGGCUCUAUUUACUAUUGAGGUUUUAGAACUUUUAAGCCACACUAGAAAUUUGUAUUGUUUUGAUAGAGUUGUAGUCUUUGAUAUGUGAUUGGUAUUAAUCAAGUGUUAUGUUUACAAUAGUUAAAGGCAUAUUGAAUCAAAAUCCACUUCUAAGGGCUUGAUUAAGUGAUUGUAAAGUAGGUUUUUAGUUUGCUAGCCACUCAAGUUCAAAUAUUGGAACCACAGAGCGUUAUAGCCAAGUGAAAGAACUUGUGCCCUAAAAAUUGAGGGGUGCAUAUCGAGUUUUAUCACCAAUAAAAGUUGGUGUUAAAACUUUAAUUUCCCUCCUAUUGAUGGAUAGGGGGUAAUUAGGAGUUUACAUCCCCUCCUAUUAACAGACAGGGGUUAUUAAGAAUAUUAAAAAAAGUUCAAAUAUUGAAAAUAUAGGUAUGGGUUAUAAAAUUCAUAAUAUAAAGACACAAAAUCAAGAUAAAGGUUUAAAAAUUUAGAAUCAUGAGAGCGUGACUUGUAAGUUUCAAAGAAGUAUGUGCAAAUAUAUGCAUUAUUGAUGCCCAAUUAAGGGUGGGCAUUAAGAUCGGGUAAACCCGAACCGAACCGAACUUAAAAUUUAUUUUGGAUUCAAUUUGGUUAUGGUUGAAGCUUUCAACUGAGUUCAAAAUUUAAAAAUGAUUGAGUUGUAUUUAUGUUCGAAUUUAACCCCAAAAGACUAAUCAAUCCAAUCGAGUUAAGUAAGCAAAUUAAGAAAAAAAAUCCCAAAAAAUUAAAACUAACCCUAACUAAAAACAUUCGACCGCGCCCUCCUCGUUUUCUUUUCUUCUUCCAAAACCCAAUCAUAAGUUCAUAACGUUUAGCGUUUGCUAUUACUAUAAUUUUUUUUAACCAAUUUUCACAUUCAUCAACAUAGGCUGACAGAUUUUGUGGAAAAUAAAAUUAAAUAAAAAUACGAGCUCACGAAAUUCCUUUUCCGAUGUGGGAAUCUAUCUACACCUUUCACGUGCUUUCUUUUUCGGUGGUGGUGGGGGAUUCACUUGCUUUUGUUUGCAUUGCCUUAUUGGAUAAAAGUUUGUAGAACAUCGUCUGUUUGGUUAAAGCCGAGCAUGAGUGAAGAAAAAUUAAAAAAAAAUAAUUUCCCAUUAAUUUGCAACAAGUAUUAAUAAAGUGCAUGCGAAAAGACACCAGGAUAUGCCUUUUUUUAAAUGAAAAUAAAUGUCCCUUUAUGAUGCCGUAAUUUUUUUUACGGUAUCAAUAGUGUAAGAAAUAUAGACCGUUAGAUCUAAUCAACGGUAUAUAUUAUUUUUAUUAAUAAAAUUUUUUAAUUAUUUGAAAAUUGUGUUAACCGGUUAACAAACCUAUAAAAUAGGUAAUUUUAAAUUUAAAAUAAAAAAGAAAUAGAGAUGCAGUAAAGUACAAUCUCUCUUUAUCUCUCACGUUCAUAUUUUUAUAAUUGGAUUCUUUAAGAUUAUCUUUGUCUCCUAAUGAUUAGAUGAAAAAGAUUCGAUAAAUUUCUCUUAAUAAAUAUUUCGGUAAAUUUCUUUUUUUUUUUAACAAAAAGCAAUUAAAUUUUCCUCUGGAAAAAGGUAAAGGUCAUUGUAGCACUCAAAUUGUCAUUUUUAACUCAGUUUUUUAAUUGAAGGGAAAAAAAAGGCAAACAACAUAGGCUAAAACACUGUGCUAAAUUUAAUAACCCAAGUUCAGGUGAACAAGACAUCUAGCAAAGUUAUGCAUCACUUCUUCUUCUCUCCACCUCCAGGGGCCCUACUCUUGCGAAGGGCAUUAGACAUCUCCUCCCGCUUCUUUUUUGCCCUCUUGUGAGUGCCAAGCUUUCUCUUUGCAACCUUCAGUGCCCUCUUGUCCUUGCCGACUUUAAGAAGCUCAGUGAUCCUUUUCUCAUAAGGUGCAAAGCCAGCAACUUCCCUAAUCACAGUCCUCACGAAGUGGACCCUUUUGCUUGUUUUCCCUUUGCGAUCUGCUGGGCGUGGCGGCAGUUCCUUCUUCGUCACAAUAUAACCCUUGUUUAAUCCAACAAAGAGACCAGUAUUUGGCUGUUUCGGAGCCAUCACCUCCGACGAAACUGAGUUGCUGCGGAAACCUGAGAUGAGUUGGGAGUAAAUAUUUCGGUAAGUUAUUCUUGAAUGAUUCAGAUUAAAUGAAUGAUUCAGAUUAUCUAUUUACCUGCAACCUGUAAGUUACCUGCUAUAUUUUAAUUAAUUAUCUAAUUAUCCAUUAUAUUAAAUGAAUGAUUCAGAUUAAAACUCUUAUAUCUAAGGGUCCACAUUAGUUCCACUAUCAAUACUGUAAAAAUAAAUACAGCAUCAUAAAGAAAUCCGUUAAUUAAUCAAUUUAAAUGGUAUGACAUUUUGAAAUGACAGAAGCGAUCUAAAGUUUAAAUCUUACUCACACCUAAUUUAGGGUUGGGAAUUAAUUGACGUAAUAUAUAAUAACGAAUUCGAAAGACAAUUAAAAAUUAAAAGAAAAUAAAAAAGUACUUUCUUUUUUAUGAUGGUAAUUUGUUUAGAUGAUGAAAACUCUUAGAGUGGUAUUAUCAAUACAUAGUUUCGAGCGUUGCCAACGUGAAUAAUAUUUAAUUUCCUUUAUCUAGUUAUAUCUCAACUAACAUUUAAACAGAAGUAAGUUGUAAAAAAAAUGAACUAUUGAGAUUUGAGAGAACGAAAAACUAAAAAAAAAAAGUUAAAAAAUUAGAUCUCAAUAAAUUUACUUGAGAACUACUUUACUGAUUAGUGAAGAGAAAACACAAAGAAUAAUGAUGUAUCUCAAUUAAUAGGAUAGUUUUUGUAUUUUUCGUUUAUUCAAGAAUCACGAAACUUCAUUUAAACUUGUUAUUUCAUUGAUAAUAUAUUAAUAUUGAACAAUUAAUGUAGGAGACAUUCCUUUCCAAUUAUGCCCAUAUAUUAAUUAAAGAUCACCAAAAAGUUCAGGGAUACUAUAGUAAUUUAAGUCAACAAUUUCUGUGCUUGAAAUCAGCCGAUCAAACUCAUUUUAGAAUAAACUGAGAAAUCAAAAUCACAUUCUCCGAUUCUAUGAUUUCAAUUCAUCUUAUUUCUUCAACUGAAAAAUUGGUUGUAUUUCGUUUUAUUUUAUUUUUAUUUUUAUAUAAAGAUAAAUAUAAAAUAUAAAUGACGAGGAGACUGUAAAAGUAAAAUCAAAAGAAGAGCACAAGUUUUAUUGAAAAUGACUCUUGUCAUCAUUUUGCCGGAGUGAAUGUAUCUACAUAUAAACUAAAGAAGCACAUUUGUUUGUAUUAGCUUUUUUAUUGUAUUUUUAAUAAUAAGUCAUUUGUCAAUGAACUUAUAUCAAAUUUUUACGAAAAUAAUAGGUGUUAGUUAGAUUAUUCAAAUGGCAAAACCUCUUGGGAUAGAGCUUGUAAUUUAGUGGCUCAUGAAUUGUCUAAAUUGACACUACCGAAUUAUUGUAUUUGGUUAAAAAAGCUCCUACUCUGCUUCAACUUUAUUAUCCUAUGAUGUUUAUUAAUAAAUAACAAUUUUAUUGAAAAAAAGACCUCUUGAAAUGAUACAAAAGAUUUGGGACAUGAAUCUCACUCGAAUUUAGCUUGAGGUUGGCAUUGUUAGCAUAAUAUUUGAAGAUAGAUUUUUUUUUAAUUAAAAAUCAAAAGAUUUUUUUUAAUUAAAAAUCAAAAGAUUUUUUUUUUUGGGGUUCAUACUAGUUAGUUUUAACUCAUAGUGAGAUUUAAACAAAAAUGGAAUAAUAAAUCUUGAUAUCCUGACUCAUGGAUAAUGUAUAGAUAAGAUAGUAAAAUUUAUUGUGUCAAAAAUAAGAGGUCUGAAGUUUGAAUUUCGCUCACAUAGGUAGUAAGAGAAUCAAAUUAUUGAUAGAUUAAAUUAAUUUAAAAAAUUUCUGAUAUCCAAAACAACGUAUCAACAAAAUUGAAAUAAAAGAAAAUUGAAGAGAAAAACCAUUGAGAGAACGAAAAAUUAACACAAGAAAAUUUCUAUAACUAAUUGUAUCAGUGUGCGCCAACUUCACUUAUUAAAACAUGGUUAUUUCAUUUUCAUGGAUAAUCAUUUUGACACCGGUCAAAUUUAAAAGUUUCAAAAAAUAUGGGCGAUUUUUCUUUCCAGCUAUGCCCAUUAACUAAUAAAAGAACCGCCGAAAGGGUUCGGGGAUAGUAUAGUAAUUUAAACUAACAGUUUCUGUGCUUCAUAUCGUCAGAUCAAACUCACACCUCACAAAAGCAGAGAAAUCAAACGGUUUCCGACUCUACGCUUUAAAUUCAGCUUCAUUUCUUCAACUGAAGAAUCGGUCGUCUCUCAUUUUUUAUUUAUUAUAUAAAGAUAAAUAUCUAAAUUUAAAUGGCGAGAAGAGCGGACGAGGAAUACGAUUACUUGUUCAAAGUGGUAUUAAUCGGCGAUUCGGGAGUCGGCAAAUCGAACUUACUCUCCCGAUUUACUCGUAACGAGUUCUGUUUGGAGUCCAAAUCCACUAUUGGCGUCGAAUUCGCCACCCGCACUCUUCAAGUAACUAACUUUUCCUCUUUCACUUCUCUUCAUUUUUAUUAGUUAAUUAAGAUCCAGUUAAUGUAAUUAAUUUUAUUUAAUCUUUUAAAUAAAGUUCUAGAUUAGGCUAACUUAGAUUCAUGUGAAGUUGAAGUGAUUUACUUUCGAUCUCUUUUUCGUCCUAUGUUUAUUUGUACUUACUAUUACUUUUUUUUGGGUUUAAAUUUUCGUUUUUGAAGUGUUUACUGAAUAAAUUUCUGAGCUUUAUUUGUGUAUGCUGAUUGAUUUGUGAUUUUAAU